rnacentral:rRNA from 1 species
GAUCUGAAAUCAGGUAGGGCUACCCGCUGAACUUAAGCAUAUCAAUAAGCGGAGGAAAAGAAACUAACAAGGAUUCCCCUAGUAACGGCGAGUGAAGCGGGAAGAGCUCAAAUUUAAAAUCUGGUUUGCUUUGCAAAUCCGAGUUGUAGUCUGAAGAAACGUUUUCCAUGAAAGCUGAGGCACAAGUCCUUUGGAACAGGGCAUCAUAGAGGGUGAGAAUCCCGUCCAUGAUCUCAAGCCUUUCAUUUUGUGAUACGUUUUCUAAGAGUCAGGUUGUUUGGGAAUGCAGCCUAAAAUGGGUGGUAAAUUUCAUCUAAAGCUAAAUAUUGGCGAGAGACCGAUAGCGAACAAGUACCGUGAGGGAAAGAUGAAAAGAACUUUGAAAAGAGAGCUAAAAAGUACGUGAAAUUGUUGAAAGGGAACCGU